rnacentral:rRNA from 1 species
UACGUAGGGUGCGAGCGUUAAUCGGAAUUACUGGGCGUAAAGCGUGCGCAGGCGGUUUUGUAAGCCAGAUGUGAAAGCCCCGGGCUCAACCUGGGAACUGCAAUGGAAACUGGCGGGCUUGAGUGUGGCAGAGGGGGGUGGAAUUCCGCGUGUAGCAGUGAAAUGCGUAGAGAUGCGGAGGAACACCGAUGGCGAAGGCAGCCCCCUGGGCCAACACUGACGCUCAGGCACGAAAGCGUGGGGAGCAAACAGG